CCUACGGGAGGCAGCAGUAGGGAAUCUUCCGCAAUGGACGAAAGUCUGACGGAGCAACGCCGCGUGAGCGAUGAAGGCCUUCGGGUCGUAAAGCUCUGUUGUCAGGGAAGAACAAGUAUCGGAGUAACUGCCGGUACCUUGACGGUACCUGACCAGAAAGCCACGGCUAACUACGUGCCAGCAGCCGCGGUAAUACGUAGGUGGCAAGCGUUGUCCGGAAUUAUUGGGCGUAAAGCGCGCGCAGGCGGUCCUUUAAGUCUGAUGUGAAAGCCCACGGCUCAACCGUGGAGGGUCAUUGGAAACUGGGGGACUUGAGUGCAGAAGAGGAAAGCGGAAUUCCACGUGUAGCGGUGAAAUGCGUAGAGAUGUGGAGGAACACCAGUGGCGAAGGCGGCUUUCUGGUCUGUAACUGACGCUGAGGCGCGAAAGCGUGGGGAGCAAACAGGAUUAGAUACCCUGGUAGUCCACGCCGUAAACGAUGAGUGCUAAGUGUUAGGGGGUUUCCGCCCCUUAGUGCUGCAGCUAACGCAUUAAGCACUCCGCCUGGAGAGUACGGCCGCAAGGCUGAAACUCAAAGGAAUUGACGG
rnacentral:rRNA from 1 species